rnacentral:rRNA from 2 species
UCCGUAGGUGAACCUGCGGAAGGAUCAUUACAAGUGAGGCUACCGAACGUUGGAAACAGCGGUUAGGAGCUUACACCCACCCGUGUCUACAUACUAUUGUUGCUUUGGCGGGCCGUGGCCUCCACUGCGGGCUCUGCUCGUGUGUGCCCGCCAGAGAACCAAACUCUGAAUGUUAGUGAUGUCUGAGUACUAUCUAAUAGUUAAAACUUUCAACAACGGAUCUCUUGGUUCUGGCAUCGAUGAAGAACGCAGCGAAAUGCGAUAAGUAAUGUGAAUUGCAGAAUUCAGUGAAUCAUCGAAUCUUUGAACGCACAUUGCGCCCUGUGGUAUUCCGCAGGGCAUGCCUGUUCGAGCGUCAUUUAACCACUCACGCCUAGCGUGGUAUUGGGGCACGCGGUCUCCGCGGCCCUCAAAAUUAGUGGCGGCGCCGGUGGGCUCUAAGCGUAGUACAUACUCCCGCUAUAGAGUUCCCCCGGUGGCUCGCCAGAACCCCCAAUUUUUACAGGUUGACCUCGGAUCAGGUAGGGAUACCCGCUGAACUUAAGCAUAUCAAUAAGCGGAGGA